rnacentral:misc_RNA from 1 species
AACCAUUCUCACCUGCGGCUAGACCUGCGGAGGGAUCAUUACAAGUGACCCCGGUCUAACCACCGGGAUGUUCAUAACCCUUUGUUGUCCGACUCUGUUGCCUCCGGGGCGACCCUGCCUUCGGGCGGGGGCUCCGGGUGGACACUUCAAACUCUUGCGUAACUUUGCAGUCUGAGUAAACUUAAUUAAUAAAUUAAAACUUUUAGCAAUGGAUCU